UACGUAGGGGGCAAGCGUUAUCCGGAUUUACUGGGUGUAAAGGGAGCGUAGACGGCAUAGCAAGUCUGAAGUGAAAGCCCGUGGCUCAACCGCGGAACUGCUUUGGAAACUGUUAAGCUGGAGUACUGGAGAGGCAAGCGGAAUUCCUAGUGUAGCGGUGAAAUGCGUAGAUAUUAGGAGGAACACCAGUGGCGAAGGCGGCUUGCUGGACAGAGACUGACGUUGAGGCCCGAAAGCGUGGGGAGCAAACAGG
rnacentral:rRNA from 1 species